AGUUUGAUCAUGGCUCAGGACGAACGCUGGCGGCGUGCUUAACACAUGCAAGUCGAACGAUGAAGCCUAGCUUGCUAGGUGGAUUAGUGGCGAACGGGUGAGUAAUACGUGAGUAACCUACCUUUAACUCUGGGAUAAGCCUGGGAAACUGGGUCUAAUACCGGAUACGACCAAUCUCCGCAUGGGGUGUUGGUGGAAAGCGUUAUGUAGUGGUUAUAGAUGGGCUCACGGCCUAUCAGCUUGUUGGUGAGGUAACGGCUCACCAAGGCGACGACGGGUAGCCGGCCUGAGAGGGUGACCGGCCACACUGGGACUGAGACACGGCCCAGACUCCUACGGGAGGCAGCAGUGGGGAAUAUUGCACAAUGGGCGCAAGCCUGAUGCAGCGACGCCGCGUGAGGGAUGACGGCCUUCGGGUUGUAAACCUCUGUUAGCAGGGAAGAAGAGAGAUUGACGGUACCUGCAGAGAAAGCGCCGGCUAACUACGUGCCAGCAGCCGCGGUAAUACGUAGGGCGCGAGCGUUGUCCGGAAUUAUUGGGCGUAAAGAGCUUGUAGGCGGUUUGUCGCGUCUGCUGUGAAAGGCCGGAGCUUAACUCCGUGUAUUGCAGUGGGUACGGGCAGACUAGAGUGCAGUAGGGGAGACUGGAAUUCCUGGUGUAGCGGUGGAAUGCGCAGAUAUCAGGAGGAACACCGAUGGCGAAGGCAGGUCUCUGGGCUGUAACUGACGCUGAGAAGCGAAAGCAUGGGGAGCGAACAGGAUUAGAUACCCUGGUAGUCCAUGCCGUAAACGUUGGGCGCUAGGUGUGGGGAACAUUCCACGUUUUCCGCGCCGUAGCUAACGCAUUAAGUGCCCCGCCUGGGGAGUACGGCCGCAAGGCUAAAACUCAAAGAAAUUGACGGGGGCCCGCACAAGCGGCGGAGCAUGCGGAUUAAUUCGAUGCAACGCGAAGAACCUUACCAAGGCUUGACAUAUACUGGACCGCAUCAGAGAUGGUGUUUCCCUUCGGGGCUGGUAUACAGGUGGUGCAUGGUUGUCGUCAGCUCGUGUCGUGAGAUGUUGGGUUAAGUCCCGCAACGAGCGCAACCCUCGUUCUAUGUUGCCAGCACGUUAUGGUGGGGACUCAUAGGAGACUGCCGGGGUCAAACUCGGAGGAAGGUGGGGAUGACGUCAAAUCAUCAUGCCCCUUAUGUCUUGGGCUUCACGCAUGCUACAAUGGCCGGUACAGAGGGUUGCGAUACUGUGAGGUGGAGCUAAUCCCUAAAAGCCGGUCUCAGUUCGGAUUGGGGUACUGCAAACUCGACCCCGUGAAGUCGGAGUCGCUAGUAAUCGCAGAAUCAGCAAACGCUGCGGUGAAAUACGUUUCCCGGGCCUUGCACACACCGCCCGUCA
rnacentral:rRNA from 1 species